UUUGCCACAUGAUCUUUGUGGGUAAAUCGUGUCCACUCAAUUUAUAAAGUUAAUUUGCAUCUAAACAUUUACAAUGCCUGACACAAUGGCAUUACAAUAAUCAAAUGUUUUUGUUUUGCGUUACUGAGUGCAAAGGCCUUUAUUUACACACUGACGCAUGCCAAGACGGCUGUCAUGGCAUGUGUCACUGUCUCUCUCUCUCGCUGUUCUGUCUGUCUCUCUCGGAUUUAGUAAAUUUUUUAGUCUCAGUGUAAAUGGAUGAUUUUAAAGUUGAUUAGUCUUGAGGCGUCGAUUUCUGCAGGAAAUUCUGGUUCCUUAUUUUGAAAUGGCUUUGAUUUAAAAAUUCUAUUUUUGUCUUGAAUCUCAGUUAUCAUAGUUGCGACUUGGAAGCUGAUGAAUCAUGUAGUAAAUACAUCAAAAUUUACUGUAGCUUGUCUAAAGUUCUUUCAAAGUGCUGUAAAAAUGUAGUAAUUGAUUAUGAUGAGCUAGACCAAGUCUUUCUUUAUUAUCAACUGGUAAUUGCUUUGAUAAGAUAACUGGUUCCUGAUUUUGAUUAUGAAGCUAAACUUUUGAUUUAUAUGCAAGUGUAGUCACAUUAGUUUGUAGGUGUUAUUCAGCCCAUGGAUAAUAUUGUGAUCUACUUUAAAUCUGGCAUUUGUUGGCACACUUUUGAUAUCCAUUUAAGUCUUAAACUUUACACACUGCCUUCAGCCUUUGUAGUUGCUAACUGAAAUCGAAUUAAAUCUUAAUGCUGACUUGUCUCACUGUGCCAAGUUUAUUUCCCUCUAAAGGAGUUGAACCUUUUUGUGUUCAUAGUCUUUUUGCGCGUCAUGUUGGGAGGCCUCCCAGCAGGGGAUUUUUAUCUUCCCCUGCAAAACUAUGCGUUACUCGCCUUAGGGAUGCAGGGCUAUCCUGCAUAGUUUCUUUCAAAAAUUAGAUUGUAGGUUGCAGGAUUAGAGCGCGUUUCUUUUCUUUAGGAGGACACAAACCUGGCAGAGAGACAACUCAGAUUAUUUAAGUAAAAGUUGCACCAAAUGAUCAAACUUUUUAUCUUUCGAUACGAUGUCUUGAAAUAAAACUUAUUCUGUGGGCUUAAUUCCGACAGAAUUUGGCUUAAUGUUAAAGACUGUUGUGCAAGUACCCUCUUGUAGCAGGAGUGAGCAGCUGCAGCUUUUUAAUUUAUUUUUCGUUAUUUGAUUUGUUUCUUGGAUUGACUUGGUGUCUGGAGCUUUGUGGUUAACAGUGAUCAUGUAAACAUGGUCUUUUGCCUCUUAUUUGCGAAGCUGGCAGCUGGUUGAAUUGAUAGGACUUUAUGGCUUGCCCAAAGUGGGAUUUUUGAUAGAGCAUAGGGUUAAAACCUCACCAUACACUAGCUAUUUCAGCGAACAAGUGUCUGUAGUCCGUUAUUACCCAUGAUUUUCUUUCAAAUUUCACAAUUUAGGCAGCUUGUAGAGUCAUUAGGAAGAUGCUUAAUCCCAAUGUCUUGGUUGGUUGCAUGAGAAACUGCCAUCGCUUAGAUGUGUUGGCGAAGUUCCUCCUCUGAUUUUUGUAGACUUGCCCUAAAGUUUCUCUCCGCUUUAACUCUUGUUGGGCUAUGCAUUAAAUGAUUCCUCCAACUUGUCUCCAUAUCAAUUUUUUCUCCCUGCAGCCUUCCACCACCCACUGCUGCUGUUGCAUCUGCUAAAGGUAGCCGUAUCCUGAUUCACUGCGUCUUCAUGUGUUGGGUAAGAAGUGUCAUUAGACUACUAACAAUGUAAACACCUUUUAAAUGCUUGAUCUAAUUUACCCAAAUGGUUCAUCAGUUUAGGACAGAAAAUCAUUGAAUUUGACAUUCUUGGGGUCAGUAACCUGACCUCUAAAUGUUUGGGAAACCAUGCAAAAGAUCGCAAGCUCUCUGCAUGACCCAACAGCAUCGAUGUUUGAGUUAUUUAAUUGCUCAAUUUUUAAAUCAGUCAAGAUUUUACGAGCUGGGUCUUCUUCACACAACAGAGAACAAGGUAAAUUGAGUCGACUCGUAACAUGGUAAGGCAUUUUGUCUUUCCCCUUCUUGUCUGUGUGUGAGGAAAUCUGGCCACGGAUCCUGACUGAGUGGCAUACCAUGGCUGCAGUUUCCAAAAUCAGACAAGGAUCCAUCUGAUUUUGUGACUCUGCCUGUCAUGAUAUGCAUGUAUCUUCCUCCGAAACAAAGGAUUGGAAUGGACAGGUUGUAGUGUAAAUCACAUCACUUGUAGGUGGUGAAGCAUUUGUUUAAAUUGGGGUCAAGCAUUUUCAGGUGUCUGCUUUGUCAAUACUCUGGUGCCACGUCUUCCUAAACACACGAGAAGCUCUGAAUUGUGAAACUGCUGCCUCUUGCAGAUGUUACAACAGCAAUGGCUGUUGAAAGGCUUGCAGGGAGAGAAAAUGAGAUCUGAGGACAGGAAAGUGGAAUUGAUUUCAUGCUUAGCAAAAUGAGGGUUUCAGCAGAGGACCUUUUUGUGGCAAGGCUACGGAAUCAGAAGGAACGUUUGUCUGGGCAACUGGGAGAUUUACAGUUUUUCAUGCAGCCACCCAAGACAUUGGGGUUAGCAUCAUCCCAAAUGGCUGGCAAAGAUUGCCUGUAACUGUCAGUGUAGGACAGGAAAGGCAGGUAUAGGUUAGGGAGGGCAUCCAUCGGUGAGAUCUGACUGGAUGUGAGGACCUGUCACACUUGACCAGAGAUGAAGGCUGCAGCACAUUCCUGGAUCAGAGGACUCCAUGUUGGACACCACGACCUGGAGAAGUCCCGUCCUGGAUGGCUGCGGUGAUGACCUAGCCCAAGAUGAACUGACCUUUCUACAACGAGGACUUCGCCCAAGAUGAACUGAUCCUUCUACGACGAGGACUUCGCCCAAGAUGAACCGACCCUUCUACGACGAGGACUUCGCCCAAGAUGAACCAACCUUUUCCACGGGAUGUCUUCAGAUGUUGGACCUUACCAAACUGAACUGUACACAUGCCUCAAUGGCUGCUACGUCACUCUGCUCAACAGGACAUGGUCACCGAGAUUUAAAUUUUUU